GAGCGAACGGUGCGUUCACACACACACACACACACACACAGGCAGUUAGGCAGCCACGCAUCCUCUCGCUCUGCUGUUUGUGCAUGUUGUGCGUGCUGGAAUGACGGACCGGCUAGUACGAGUAGUAUAGUUUACAUCAGACUCUACUGCGAGUGUGGGACUCGGCACUGCAGCGAUCGACAGUUGGACCCGUUAGCAUCGAUUUUGUUACGAUAUUAUCCACGAACGGACCUACACUGGACGUCGCUUCGUCUUGUUCGUGCCAGACAUCAGUCGACGUGUGACUUUGUGUGUAAACUUGUUGAAGUGAUCAGAGAGAAAGAGAGAGAGAGAGAGAGACGCGUGCACAUUGGAUUGGAUUUUCGCGGAGUGCCCGUCUUCGCUUGCCUUGAUCGGACAUCGGUUGUAGUGUUAUAGUACAUGAGUGAAGAGAAGCGAUCUGCUACUACUGCGGCGAUGGCGUACAUGUGGACGUUGCUGUCUGUGAUCGUCUGUAUAGCAUCAUCUUCCACCGCCAACCACGUCGUGCUAAUGGACACCACGGACAGCUCGAGUCUGGGAUGGACGAGGUUUAAUCCCCACGCCACCUCAGAGGACACGACACAGGGGGUGAGUAGACUGUACAUCAAUACAUCUUCUUCCCAUAACAAACCACCGAUCCACCCCCUCGCGUGCAUG